rnacentral:rRNA from 1 species
GGAACGAACGCUGGCGGCAUGCCUAAUACAUGCAAGUCGAACGAAGGCUUCGGCCUUAGUGGCGCACGGGUGCGUAACGCGUGGGAAUCUGCCCCUUGGUUCGGAAUAACAGUUGGAAACGACUGCUAAUACCGGAUGAUGACGAAAGUCCAAAGAUUUAUCGCCAAGGGAUGAGCCCGCGUAGGAUUAGCUAGUUGGUGAGGGUAAAGGCUCACCAAGGCGACGAUCCUUAGCUGGUCUGAGAGGAUGAUCAGCCACACUGGGACUGAGACACGGCCCCAGACUCCUACGGGAGGCAGCAGUGGGGAAUUUUGGACAAUGGG